rnacentral:rRNA from 1 species
AACAGCUCAAAUUUGAAAUCUGGCCUCGGCCCGAGUUGUAAUUUGCAGAGGAUGUUUCUGGCGCGGUGCCUUCCGAGUUCCCUGGAACGGGACGCCACAGAGGGUGAGAGCCCCGUAUGGUUGGACACCAAGCCUGUGUGAAACUCCUUCGACGAGUCGAGUAGUUUGGGAAUGCUGCUCAAAAUGGGAGGUAAAUCUCUUCUAAAGCUAAAUACCGGCCAGAGACCGAUAGCGCACAAGUAGAGUGAUCGAAAGAUGAAAAGCACCUUGAAAAGGGGGUUAAACAGUACGUGAAAUUGUUGAAAGGGAAGCGCUUGUGACCAGACUUGCGCCGGGCGGUUCAUCCGGGGUUCUCCCCGGUGCACUCCGCCCGGUUCAGGCCAGCAUCGGUUCUCGUUGGGGGAUAAGAACGAUAGGAACGUGGCCCUCCUUCGGGUGGGUGUUAUAGCCUGUCGUACGAUACCCUGACGGGGACCGAGGUUCGCGCUCCGCAAGGAUGCUGGCGUAAUGGUCAUCAGCGACCCGUCUUGAAACACGGACCAAGGAGUCGUCCAUUAGAGCGAGCGUUUGGGUGUAAAACCCGCACGCGUAAUGAAAGUGAAAUUAGGUGAGAGCUUCGGCGCAUCAUCGACCGAUCCUGAUGUUCUCGGAUGGAUUUGAGUAAGAGUUUUAACGGACGGACCCGAAAGACAGUGAACUAUGCUUGUAUAGGGUGAAGCCAGAGGAAACUCUGGUGGAGGCUCGCAGCGGUUCUGACGUGCAAAUCGAUCGUCAAAUAUGAGCAUGGGGGCGAAAGACUAAUCGAACUG